UCUGUUUAGACUUUUGGAUUGUGU
rnacentral:piRNA from 1 species